GCUGAGGGGCGGCGGCGGCGCGGCCUCGACACGGGAAGCGCGGCGGGGGCGAAGAGGAGGCAGCGAGCGAGGAAGAGCCGCCCACUCGUCCCCCCGUCCCCACACACACACACACACACACACACCCACACCCUCCCCGGGGCCGGCCCCGCGCGCCGCCGCCUCGCGACCCCCGCCCCCCUCACGGCCGCCCCCCCCCCUCCCCUCACGGCCCCGGCCGGACCUUCCCGAAGAAAGGCAUCGGCGGCGGCGGGAAGAGAAGGAGGAAGAGGAGGAAGAGGAGGAGGAGGAGGAGUCACACGGAUUCAGGAGCUUGAACUCCGAGAGACGCAAUAAGCGAUUGUGUUACGAGCCUUGGCAGCGCCAAAUCCGUGAGCACGGGAUGGUGCGGACAGAAGAGUGCAGGUUACCUCUAACUCAGGUAAUGGAAAGUCUUACCUGGAUCUUCCCUGGUGAGGCUUGGAAUUUAGCAAAGGAAAAAGGUACCUGUAAGACUUGUCAGUGUACUGAACCAUGCUGGGAGGGCAGGAGGAAUCUGAAGAAGAUUUUCAAGCACUAAGCAUAAAAAUAAAUGACAACAUAAAACCCA
rnacentral:lncRNA from 1 species